rnacentral:lncRNA from 1 species
UAGAUCUAGAGAUUCUCUGAUUUUAGAAAAUAAAUUUUGAUUUAUUUUAGUCUUCCGCUGUAUGAUCUUGAAAAAGUUUCAAGAUCUAACCCUGAAACCCUAGAUCUGGUUCCAACAGUUCGGAUGGUAUUGUGGAAGCUCGGACGGUUGGGGAGGUUCAGAAAGACACCGCACAAGGUCAGAAGCCGGAAGAGCCCUGGGAGGGUCAGCCUCUUACGAACUUCGGCUGGGGUUAUUUUAUACCCAA